rnacentral:rRNA from 1 species
UAAUACGGAGGGUGCAAGCGUUAAUCGGAAUUACUGGGCGUAAAGCGCACGCAGGCGGUUUGUUAAGUCAGAUGUGAAAUCCCCGAGCUUAACUUGGGAACUGCAUUUGAAACUGGCAAGCUAGAGUCUUGUAGAGGGGGGUAGAAUUACAGGUGUAGCGGUGAAAUGCGUAGAGAUCUGGAGGAAUACCGGUGGCGAAGGCGGCCCCCUGGACAAAGACUGACGCUCAGGUGCGAAAGCGUGGGGAGCAAACAGGAUUAGAUACCCUGGUAGUCCACGCUGUAAACGAUGUCGACUUGGAGGUUGUGCCCUUGAGGCGUGGCUUCCGGAGCUAACGCGUUAAGUCGACCGCCUGGGGAGUACGGCCGCAAGGUUAAA